UUUUUUUUUUUGAAAAGAAGUCAAAAUAAAAUAAAAAUUAAGAUAGAGUCAAAUUUCUCUAUAACAGCGUUGCUAGUCUGAAUAUAUAGUUCUUAAAUACUAUAAUGAAAUGUUAUUAUAAAGUACAUAUACAUUAACUUAACAUGAAAAUCAAUUGAUUCCAAGAAAAAUACUUGAUCGUUAUAAUAAAAUAACGGAAGAAUUUUGGAAAGCCAUCGUGAUCUUCGAUUGGUUGGAGAAAAUUAGAUAAAAUAUUAUGACGUUAGUUUGACAAAAAAUAUAUUAAAUUCUCACUCUAGACUUUAAUCAUGUGUUACAGUGUAUAUUAUUAAAUGUUAAAAUGUGAAGUCAUCAUAUAUUCUCAUCUAAAAAUGUAUAUUUUUAUAUAAUCAGUUAUAUCUUUCAUAUUUAAAAAUAUAUAUAUUUUCAACACAUGCCACACAUAUUGAUAAAAAAAAUGAACGUUCUUGAGCCUAACUCUUAUAAAAAAAAAUUUGCUCAAAGAUAAGAAAAGAAGUAUGACAAGAAAAUAUGUUAGGAAGGACUUUCUUUUAAAAUGAAUCUUACGAAACGGGACGAUAAUUCAAAUUAGUUAAACUUCGAUGCAAAUAUCGAAUAUCAAAUAUCUAAAUUUUUGUUUUUUUUUCUACAAGGAUUUUAAAUGCUUCACAAUUUCAUUAUUGUACUCCACUUACAAGCAAGCAAAAAGUCUACGUACAUGCACUAAAUUUCCCCUAUUUAAGGCAUCUUGUUUGUUUGUUUUUUUUUAAUAAUUUUUCCUUUGUCUUUUUCUUUCACUAAACUCUUUUGAGUCAAAACUCAUAUUAAUGUAGACAAAGAAUAAUUAUAAAUAAAAAAAUAGAAGUAGAUAAAUGUCUUGUCAUUUGUCAAUUGAUUAUAUAUAUGUCGAAAUUAACGGAUGUUUUGACUAUUAUAUAUAUAAAUAAAAAAUUCAAGUAUUUUUUUGUUUUACAAUUGUUUGGAAUCUCAAGAUUGUAAGUUCUUAUUAAAUAUAUAUAUCAUGUAUAACAAAGAAAUAGGCAGGGUUAGUGGUUGAACAAUAUUUAAUUAGGAUAGUGUCUUGUUUUCUAUGAUUUGCGCUGUUAAUCAAAUAGAUAACUAAUAUCAUUUGGUAUUAAAUGAUUAAUUGCAUAGUAAAAUAUAUAUAUAUAUAUUUCAUUUUUUGACAUAAUAUUUUGACCUGAUCAAGAUAGCACCCAAGGGUGAGUUCGUAUAAUCUAGUGAUUAAAAAAGUAAUCGAAAAUCAUAUGAAGUCUUUAAGUUCAAAUUAACUAUAACUUUUUAUGUAUCCAAGUUUUUGUGGACAGAAAGUUAAUCGACAUCUAUAUUCGAAUAGCAUGAUUAUGAAAAGGAAAAAAAAAACCUCUAGAUCUCAGAAGACUCCCACCACUUUUAUGUUUAGUCUAAUCUAACUCUUUGUGGACUUUUCCACAAUGAUAAAUCUUUAAGAAAUUAGAAGAUUAAGUGGUGUCAAAGAUAAUAGAAAGCUAGUUUUGAGUGCAUUAAUUUGGUAAAUGUUGCACCAAAAGGAUCCCGAAACCUAAAACAACAAUAAUAUAUUUCGUAUAAUCUUAUAAAAAGGGUCUAAAACAGAUAGGAUAUACGUAUGCACCCUUUGUAAGGUAGUUUAUAAUUUAUUUUCAAUAGAACAUCGGUUCAAUAAAGUGCAAUCAAAACAGAAUAUAAAGGAAAAUAAUGCAAACAAAAUAUAUUAUAACAAGAUAAACAAAGCAAUUGAAGCAACAAGUAGGAGUCUGAAACCUAAAUGAUGGGAAAAAUAUAGCCAAAACUAUUACUAUGUCUAGAAGAACUUUUAAAAUAUUAAUUCUUACAAUAAAAAGGAGAAAAUUUAAAACAUCUCUAGAAAAACUCAAAAAAUUGAAAAUUAAAAUUUUACGAAAAAAAUGUUCAAUUACUUUUCUUUUUUUUUAAAAUUAUGGUCUAUUCAUUCAAGAUUCAAAGAUUGAUGUGACAAGACAAUAUACACAUGUGAAGGAUUGGACAAUUGCCUUACUAGUUAUUAAGUGACCUCUCCUACUCAAAACCUGUCAAAAUAUCAUCCCACUUUCACCCCAACCCCCCAAAAAAGUAAAUAUUUUUUACACAAAAAUUAAAUAAUUUAAUAUUCUUCUUCAAAAGUUUUAAAAAAUAAAUAUUAUAAUUUAUUGAUUUUACGUAUACAUCGACUGUGAAUGAACUUUUACUUCCUCAAUGUACGCACUCUCUCGAACCCUAACUAAUUAACACAAUAAGACAAGAUCGAUAAACUCAUUUGUAUCGAAUGUUUAUACAAAUUAUAUUAAUUUAUUAUGAUUAAAUAAUUUAACAAGAUAAAAAUAUGAACUAGCUAAUUGAUUAUGAUUUUAGUGAAAUAAAUUAAUUUGUGUAAAGAUAUUAUGAUUUUAUUGGUCUUGUAUAAAUAUUGACGCGAAAAAAUCUUGAUAAGAAAUGAUUUUAAAUAUAUUAUCUUAGAGCACAAUGUGUUUGUUAGUGCAUUGGUCUUAUUAUAAAAAGUUCAAAAGUGAUAUAUCUCGUGACAUAUUUAAAAAUAUAUUGUAGAUAAUAAAAUCUUAAAUAUGUGAAAAUAUUUUUAAAAAUUUAAUUCAAAAUUUACUAUCAAAUGCGCUAGGUAAACAGAAAAAAAGAAAAAAAAACAUAAUGAUGGUAGCUAUGCUAUAUCUUUCCAUCAGUCUGCUAAAUAUUGUACUUCACUAACUACUGAUGCUGAGGUUUCAUUUUCUAAACAGUAUUUUUAUUUUUUCCUUCACUUCACAAGAUUUUAUUGCUUGGAUUUGUUUAAGGCAAAUUAUGUUGCACUGAUUUCCACGUGCCAUUUAUGGCACUUCACUUCAUUUUUUUUCAUUUCUAUGAUGUACGAAAUAUUUUAUAUCAUUUUAUGGAAUGAUAAGUAUUUCUUUGUCAAUUAGAAAUUUUGAGUUCGAGUUUCUUUGGGUAUGGAAUCGCUUUUGUUAGACAACGCUUUAUUCUUAAUGUAAAAUUUUCAGUAUAAAUCAAAUUUUAAUGUAGGUACGAGACACCAGAUAGAAACACAUUUAUAAAGAAUGAUAAUUGCUGCAAAAAUAAUAAUAUAUUUAACGAUAAUUAAAUUAUUGUCAUUAAAGAUCAUUUCUAAUGUAGUGAGUGUGACCUAAAAUUACACUAGUGAUAAUAAUUUUUUAUUACAAAUAUAAGGUGUGGCUUAAAAUUAGUGAAUUGACUAACUAAAAAACACCCUUUUUGGGGUUUUGAUUUGAAGGAAAAGAUAAGGGAUGAAUAAUAUGUUCUUAUUGUGAUAAAAAUAAUAUGUCUGUUUUCUAUCAGUCUUCCCUCACCUUAUUAUUAUUCCUUUUGCCUCUCUUUUUAACUUGUUCAACUAUCUUUCCUUCUCUUUUUGCAGAAUAUGUUACCUACUAAAUUGACUAUUCAAACAAUUUACUCAAAAACAAACACAAUGUAAUCUUACAUGUAGGGUUCGGGAAGAGUAGUGCGUUUGUAAAUUAUUUUGUUCCUAUUUUGUUAUAGUAUAUGGAGGUUGUUUCCGAAAGAUGGUAGAUAUAAUAACGGACAGUAACAAUAAGAUAAUAAGAUAAUUGAAAUGAAAGAAACAAUCAAAUAGCAGCGCUAAAGGUCUAAGAAUAAGCAACUUAAAAAAAUUAUAUUGAUACUCUUGGUAUGAAAAAGAAAUAUGCUUGUCAAUAGGGUGGAGCUAGGGUAUCGAAAAGGGUUCGUUUGAAUUUAUUUUAUCGAAAAAUUAUACUAUGAAAAGGUGGUCGGGAAAGGAUAUAUAUAUAUAUAUAUACUCUUUGAAUUAUGUUUUAUUAAUAUAUAAUAAAUUUAAAUAUUUUAUUUUAUUUUCAAAUAAGAUAUGUUAAAGAGGAAAUUCAUGUCAGUGUACUUAUGGAAUGGAUAACAGGAAGCACCAUAAUGUGUGCCUGUAAGUGGUAACUGUAAUUUGGCCCUUUUUUAUGCUUUUUCCUCGGGAUGUGGAAUUUAUAUUGAUGUCCGAUUAAAUUUGACGUUGAAAAAGUUCCACGUUGAGAGAUCAAACAUUCUCAAACAAAGGCGAAAGAUGUUCUCUGACAAAUAGCGGAAUGGGAUAGCUAGACAAGGAUUUCUCAUGAGAUUAUAACUAUAUCAUUUUCUAAUAUGAGAUAGCUAAUUCCACCAUUUCAGUAUAUAAUAGUUCAUAGGACAAACUAAUACCUAUAACCAAAUGUGAAAUAAAAUUGGAUAAAUUAUCUAACAGAGCAAACAUAUGUCAAGUAUUUACCCAAAGUAGUGAGAGUUUACAAAAAUUAUACUCAUAUAUAAUGAGAGUUUGGAUUUUAUCUGUUUCGAAUUUGUAUAUGUUUGCAUAUAUAGAUUUGUAUCGGUUCACUUUGUAAUCGUUGUAUAUAUUCGCUCUAUUUACUCAUCAGAUCGAUAUUAAGAGAGCAGAUACAAAGCAAAUCGAUACACAGUAGUAGUAUCACAAGUUUUUUAGGUAAAUUAUCACUAUGAUAGGUAGUUAGGGCUCGAAGCACCAAUAUUUUUAUGAUUUUCUCAAUAAAAUAAUCUCGUAUUUUAUUUCGAAAUUGUUAUCAAAUGGGCCUUGUUUUGUCUAUUACCUACUACUAAGGCCCAUACAUAUAUGAUGUUGAUAUAUCAUAGAAGAGAUAUAAAAUAGUACUAAGUACUUCUACUGGUUAUUUGUACGUACUCAUGUGCCUGCAUGCACACGAGCAACUCUCAACCCCCCCACCCCCACCAUAAUUAGUCCGAUCCAAAAAGAAUGUUAUUUUUAUCACAAUUAAAAAUAAUUUAAUCUUAGCGAAAUGAUUUAUUGAAAUAGAAAUAUCUAAGAAUUGUUUUAGAUUACAAAUUUUAAAAAAAUUCAUUUUUUCCUUAGACAUCGUAUUAAGUUAAAUAAUAUCACAUAAAACAGGACGGAGGGGGUAAAGAAGAAGAGCCAAUAAAAGAUCUAAAGAAAGGUAACCUUAAAAACCAGAAACAAAACAGCAGGACUAGUUUCUUUGCUACUACAAUAUAGAGUGAAAAAAAGAAAUUAUUUAGCCAAUAUAUUAUAAAGUGAUAGAGUCAAAGGGACCAUAGGUAUUCUAGCAGAAGGAAGUAGCAGACUCUGGCAAAGAGAUAAGGUGUAGAGAAGUGGGGCCAUCGGAGUCGGAGUCGGAGUCAAAAAUUUAUAUAAGAAGAUUCAAAUAAUGGUAUAACGUCAUAUAUAGUUCAAUUUGAACUUGUGACCUAAAAUAAUUUAUAAUAGUAUAGGUGUCGCUUGUGGAGUAGAGGACUUGUAAUGGAAUAAUACUAUAGUAGUUUUUGGAGAGAACUAGACAAUACAUGAUACAUUUGUAACUUAUCGACGACAUGAUUUUAUAUAGAAAAAAAUUAUAGGUCAAGGAUUAGGAUAAUAUAGAAGGUUAGUACUUAGUAGGUAGUCACAUGUUGUCUAGUUACGUAUCAAUAUUAUUUUAUUCUUUGCUUUUAUUAUCUCCUUAGUUUUGACUAUUAUAUUAUUUGUUUGUUGUUAUUCUUCUCAUUCAUUGUUUCAAUACUGUUUUACAUGCUUAAUUUAUGUUAUUGCUUUAUUUUAAAAUAAUAUUUCUACCUUCUCAAGACAUGAAUAAGGUCGCGUAGGCACGCUUUAUAAAAUUACACUAAAUAUGUUAAUGUAGUUUGAUAUGAUCUCAUGACUUAGAUAAUUAUUUUAUCUAUACUAUUAUUAUUUUUAGAAAAAAGCAAUUGAUCAUGGUGUAUAUGUAAUUAAUUAUAUUUUUAUUUUAUUUAUAUAAAAUAUAAUUUUUCGACGAAAGAAUUUCAAACGCUAGAAGACAAGGAGAGUUAAGAUGUGUGAAGAGAGUGGGUCAAUGACUCACAAGUAUGGGGUUGUCUUGUCAUGUCAAUAGCUUCAUUUAUUAUUAAUGUUCUUUUCCUUGUUUUAAAAAUCUUGUCCCUAUAUAUUGGCACUAUUUGUUAGGAACUUUAAAAUACAGUACUUUAAUAGUAAUUAAUUGUUGCUAUCUUCAUGGAUGCUAUGAAGUGGAGGUCAUUUUACUUUUUUUUAAACUUAAUUAUAACAUAUCGAGUAAAAUUUCACAAGUGAAGUCUACACAUUAUAUUGGUGAAAAGACAACAAGUAUCUAAUAAACUAGUCAAGGUAUGCGCUAACUGGCUAAGUAACAACUACUACUUCUCAGUUCUAAAUAAGUUAAAAUCAGCUAUAUGAAUCCUCGCGGUAUCUAAUUUCAAUUACUAUCAACAAAGAAACACAGAACUUUUUCACCUUUUUUCAUUCCAAAAGCAACCUAAAGUCCUGGAAGUUAGUUGCUGAUGUGAUGUGAAAGAGAAAGGUAUUAAUUGAGAGACAAAGCAUGAAUAUAUAUAUUACUUUAUGUCCUAGUUGAAAAUGCAACAAAUGAGAAAUUUAAUGGAUACCAACUCUUGGCAAUAAUAGCAUUGAGAAGGAACAAUUAAUUCAAUGUUGGUCAGACUCUCCAAAAAUGUUAUCGUAUCUUUAAAAAUGCACUACUUUUAGAAGAUAUGACACGCACAUGUCGUCGACAAUUUUGAAGAGUCCAAAACAAUAUAGGAAAAUGAAGAGGUGACAAAACUCAGUUCUUAAUGUUACAGUAAUGAAUUUGUUCUAUCAUGUAUACAACAAUUACAAAGUUAAGAACUACAUAUUGGCUUUCCUGCAAACUGAUAAAAAUGAAAACAUUAACUAUGAAACAUAAAUGAAUUUACCAUUCAACAAAUAAGUUACACGAAUAUAAUGAAUAUGUUUAUCCCUCAGAUACCGUCAUUGCUUCUACUCAGGGUAAAGAAGUUCAUGACUCGUGGGCCUCUACGUCCAUGUGGCAUUGGCCGGUUCAAGGUUAGUCGUGAGCUGUAGGAAAAGAUAGUAGUGAACCAUGAGAAGUUCCCGUAGUUGCAUAAGGGACAUUUCGAACAAUCCAGAAGAUAGUAACAUUUGUCUUCCGACUAGCAAUCACUGGCAAAACUACCUCAGGCAAUAGCCCAAAACUUUUUCCUGCAAAAUAAGACCGGCUCCGUCUUUCUCUGAUGGUUCUCUAGAAAAUGAAGUUCGACAUCCCAGAGAAACUUAGGAGCAAGAGCUUGUAUUCUUGAUAUGAUGGGCUCUUCAUCUCUGAUAAUGAUAAAUCCCUGCAUGUCA
rnacentral:lncRNA from 1 species